UCAUCUUAUUCACAUUUUCAUCAUUUUAUCCAACUAUAAUCCAUUAGAUUGGAUUUUCACGCUCAAUCUCGCUCAUCCAAUUCUUAUCUAUAAUCUAUUCAUUUUCUUAUAUAAUGCUACUUUCCAACCCUUACAGAAUCACCACACAUUUUUUAUAUACAAUCUAGUUACAUAUUUAUCGAAAAAUCAAUAAAAUUAGCACAACAAGAAAGCGAUAACUCCUCUUACGACGACGGCAAUCAAGGCCACGCCAUCAUGACGACGAUGUACGUAGAAUACCAAUAACAUGUUCGCUUCACAGGGGAAGUGCAAAACACAACAUGGAGGAACAUCAUCACGCCGGAAUUCAGUAAGAUGGGACCGAAUAGCCAACAUGAAAGAUUGGUAUUCUCCGUACAUCGUCGUCAUUAUAGCGUGGCCUUGGUUGUCGUCGUCGGAAGAGGAGUUAUCGCUUACUUGUUGAGCCAUUUUUUUUUUUAUAUAAAUAUGUAACUAGAUUGUAUAUAGAAUGUGUGGUGAUUGUGUAAGGGUUGGGAAGUAGCAUUAUAUAAGAAACUGAUUUUUUUAUAUAAUGCUACUCCCCAAUUCUUACACAAUCACCACACAUGCUAUAUAAUGUUGUAUAUGAUUGUUAUAGAUAAUCUUGGAUGUCCUAGAUUGAACAUGAAAAUCCAAUUUAAUUGAUUAUAGUUGGAUAAGAUGAUGAAGAUCUAGAUAAGAUGAUGAAGAUGGUAGUAAAAUGAUUAGAUAAAAAAUUUAAUGGAUGAGAUCAAUGGAAAUCAUAUCCAAACAGUUGUAGUUCAACAUUUCAUAUCUUUUCAGAAUUUUUUAUUUUUUA